rnacentral:snRNA from 1 species
AUCCCUUCUCGGCCUUUUGGCUAAGAUCAAGUGUAAAAUGUAUUUAAAAUGCUAAUUAUUUUUUGUUUACUAAAGUAAU